AUUGAACGCUGGCGGCAGGCUAAACACAUGCAAGUCGAGCGGGGGGAGGUUGCUUCGGUAACUGACCUAGCGGCGGACGGGUGAGUAAUACUUAGGAAUCUGCCUAUUAACGGGGGCCAACAUCUCGAAAGGGAUGCUAAUACCGCAAAAGCCCCACGGGGGAAAGCCGGGGGUCCAUUGUGACCUUGCGUUAAUAGAUGAGCCGAGGUCGGAUUAGCUAGUUGGUGGGGUAAAGGCCUAGCAAGGCGACGAUCUGUCGCGGGUCUGAGAGGAGGAUCCGCCGCACUGGGGCUGAGACACGGCCCAGACUCCUACGGGAGGCAGCAGUGGGGAAUAUUGGGCAAUGGGGGGAACCCUGAUCCAGCCAUGCCGCGUGUGUGAAGAAGGCCUUAUGGUUGUAAAGCACUUUAAGCGAGGAGGAGGCUCUUUUGGUUAAUACCCAAGAUGAGUGGACGUUACUCGCAGAAUAAGCACCGGCUAACUCUGUGCCAGCCGCCGCGGUAACAC
rnacentral:rRNA from 1 species